ACCAAAGCAGACGACAUCUUCCAUUCAGAUAUCAAUAUCGAUAGUAAACUUAGUUUGAUUUCUCCCGUUAAAAUGGCGCGCUUUUCGAUCACUCUGUUUCUUGUUGUUCUGCUAUACGUGUACACCGCUGAAGGUAGUGUACUUCGUGAAUCCCUCAAUCAAGUCGGGGAGGAUGGUAAAUUUGACAAGUUGGCUUUAGUGAUAACAUGGCCCCCUUCAUUUUGCCACAAGAUGUGCGUGAAGCCAAGUUCGGACUAUAGGAUUUGGACAAUACACGGGCUCUGGCCUUUUGCGAGUGGUGUGAAACACACUCCGACAUACUGCCCAGGGGAGUACGACUCUACACUCAUUAGAGGUACCUUGCGUGAUGAGAUGAACCAAAAAUGGCCCAAUCUGAGGGGCGGACCUAAUGACAAGUUCUGGAAACACGAAUUUGAGAAACACGGAAUGUGCCCCUUCGAUCCGUCAGUUUUUAGGCCCCAACAGGAGUACUUCAAAGAUGCGACUCGUCUCUAUGGCCAGUACGACAUCAAAACAAUCCUACAACACGACGGAGUUGUGCCCUCCAUCCAUGACAGGUAUACAUUGGCUCAAGUCAAUACAGCACUGUAUAAAGGGCUUGGCGUCUUUCCGGCGGUCUACUGUUAUGAAGUAAAAGGUAUCCAGUUCUUGUUAGAAGUGCGCAUGUGCUUUGACCUCAACCUUCGACCUAUCACCUGCGGGGAUGCCUUGGUAGGAGGGGGCAGGUGCAACCCCAAGAAGGAAAUCAUUUACUCGCCUACCGAGAUCAAAGUCAACCACCAGAUUUUGACCACGUCGGGGGACCUCGCAGUCCAUUUCUUAGUCGACAUCGCCGAGAUGGAUGCGAGGGAUAAGAUGAUGGAUGAGGAGGAGGAUGACCACGUCGAGCUGUGGCAGAAUCUUAACCAAAACAUCGAUGAGGAGUAGAUGUAGGGUGACUAUAUAAUACAGUCGCCAUCAGUUAAAUCAACUUUAACAUAUCUAAUAGUGUAAUUUAGUUUAGCGUAUGAAAUUGAGACUCUGUUUUCUGUCUCCUUGAAAAAGUAUAACACAAUUUAUACAUAAAAUCCACUUCAAGACCAAUUUUUUCUUCAGUCUCCCCUUGGAGGUUUUUAUAAUUCAGAUUAAAUAUA